rnacentral:rRNA from 1 species
CGUCGCUGUCCGGGACUGAGCUGUUUCGAGAAGAGUGAGGACUGACGCAGAGGGGCUUCGGCUCUACUGUGAUGGGAAUCACUUUAAUCGCAAUGGCUUGAACCGGGCAAAAGUCGUAACAAGGUACCUGUAGGUGAACCUGCAGGUGGAUCAUCGCUGAUUCCUUACGGAACUCUGGCUUUGAUUACGGUGAGUGUUAGUCGCCUUAUGGGAUCGAGCCUUUGGUCUUCGUUCCUUCUGACUCUUGCCACGUGCAGCAUAACGUGAGGUGUUCGUUUAUUCGUCUGGCGGAUUUAUGCGACCGCAGCUUGGUGUGUCUUCGGAUACGUUGAGCAACAGAUGGAUUCCACGGCUUCGCUUCGGCGUCGUAGUGGUUCGGCGAACUUCAAGUGUAGUGGCUUCGACUACCGCCUCGCAACCUUUGCUGGCUUUAUACCACCCGUCGGCGGUGGAAGCCUCAAUGACCUAAGGCCUUCCCUUAAACCGGUUGGCCUGGGCGGCAAAACCCCUUAUUCCUUUUAUUUAACUUAUGUUUUGGCUUGUUCGAGAGAACAUAUCUUACUACCCGUUGGGAUGGAUCGGUCGAUUCGCAUAUCGAUGAACAACGGAGCUAGCUCCGUUAUUUACCACGAAUUGCAGACGCUUUGAGUGGUGAAAUUUGGAACGCACAGCGCCGUCGGGUUUUUCCCGUCGGCACGUCUGGUUCAGGGUUGUUUUCUUAACUGCCUUCGCUUCGGCGUUGGCUUGUCGAGCGGCUAUGCCUUACGGCAUACCCGUUCUAGUCAAGAAUUCAUAGCAACAUGAGUCUUCGGACUCGCUGUAGGUGUGCUCGUUGAACGUGCAUUGCCGUCGGCUUCAAACCGCUUCAAAUGGUGCGAAGUUGUCGGUCGCUAAUGAUGCGUGUUCGUGUAGCUUGCACCUUGUCUUAGCAACCUGAGCUCAGUCGUGAUUACCCGCCGAACUUAAGCAUAUCAUUCAGCGGAG